AGGGCAGGAGAGGAGGGAGAGGGUGGAGCCCAGGAGGUAGCCUGGGUCCUCGCUAGCUGGAGAGGGUGCGAUUGAAUGAAAAAUGACUCAUGGAAGGGCCCGACUGUGGGGGAAGACCCUGCGAUUGGUCUUGUGGUCCCAAGGAACGGAUACCUCUGCAACUAUCUGCAACCUGGACCUCUGCAACAGAAAUCUCAGGCUCCAGAGAAGCACAUAGAUCCAGCGUUCAAGGAGCAUACAUUCGGGUGAGAGACAGACACAGGGACAGCCAACUGAAUACACAGAGAAGCAGCUUAGGAAACCAGCCAGAGGCUGAGCUGAAACCUAACGUCUCACCCUGAGUGGCUCCAUCACUUGGAGGAAGGCCUGCACACUCUGAGACCUAAAGGAUGCUGGUAGGGCUUGAAUUGUG
rnacentral:lncRNA from 1 species